ensembl:lncRNA
UCACUUUGUCAUUGCAGAAGCAAGACCAGAAUCCAGGUCUCUUAAUUAUGAGAUGUAUGAGAUGCCUGAUAGGAGAGGGUUUGCUGGAGCAAAGAAAAAUUGGAACUUUUACUCAAAUGAUUAAGGGGUCCUGGCCAAAGCUAAUCUCUAGUGGCAAAGCCAAGCUGAAAUACACAGGUAGAAAGAAACUCAGGAAGUAUCAAAUGGGCAACUAUGGAAUUUUUCAGCAUUUUUCCCAGAAGAGACUGAGGUGUGAGGCGGAUGACCAACUGACCCAAAUGCCCCUACUCUGACAGGCUCCUGGCAGGUCAUUUUUCUUGGAGAAAGAAUGGGGACAUUGUUGUAUUUCAAACCAGGAAUAUUGUGACAGUUUAAUUCAUGCUAUUCUUAUUUUAGUGGAAUCUAAUUGAAUCUUAUGCAUAUGAAUGAGAAAAAAAAACAGUAAACUGUUCAGUGAUCAAACAUUACUCUUACUGCCUCAUUCUGCAAAUUCUUUGAGUCAAAAUGAAAACUAAAUGGCAUUUGGAAACAAGUGUACACAUAGGAAAGUAUCUUUCAGAAUCCGGUGGUCUAAGAUUGGACUGGAAAGAAAGAAGGUUCCUUGCUGGCCAGGCGCUUAUUCCCCAUUUUUCAUUUCUGUUUGUAAUUCCUGUCAUCUUUGUUUCUUAUGCUUUGGCUAAAAAGGGAG